AAAUAAAUCAUGGAAGCCUCAGCCUGGUGGUACGGGGCUGACUGCCUGAGCCCCGUCGCAGUGCAGCGGACUGACUGCUUGAGCUAGAGCCCUGCUGCUGAAUACAGCUGAAGCCAAAGCCAGAAGUCACUGAGGACAAGUUCAGGUACACCAUCUGGUAUGGGUGAUAAUCAGUAUAUGGGGUGAGAAAAGCAUGAACAAGCAAAGUCAGCAGGAGAAGGCAAGGAUUCCAGUCAGAAGCCCAUCAUUUCUAUUCAGCUGCAGUUUUGCAUUAGUGAACACUGGAUGGGCCAGUAGAAAAUGAGCUUCUGCUCUGAAAAGUGGCUCCAUAAGAACAGCAUAGAAAGCUUGUUUCCUGGAGCUUGAUGUUACAUCCAUGAUCUACAACAAACAAGCAUUUGUACUACAGAAAGG